rnacentral:tRNA from 1 species
GGGGCCGUAGCCCAACGGUAGAGGCGGCAGUCUUAGGAACUGUACAGAGCGGGUUCGAAUCCCGUCGGCCCCA